rnacentral:rRNA from 1 species
AUUGAACGCUGGCGGCAGGCCUAACACAUGCAAGUCGAGCGGAUGAAGGGAGCUUGCUCCUGGAUUCAGCGGCGGACGGGUGAGUAAUGCCUAGGAAUCUGCCUGGUAGUGGGGGAUAACGUCCGGAAACGGGCGCUAAUACCGCAUACGUCCUGAGGGAGAAAGUGGGGGAUCUUCGGACCUCACGCUAUCAGAUGAGCCUAGGUCGGAUUAGCUAGUUGGUGGGGUAAAGGCCUACCAAGGCGACGAUCCGUAACUGGUCUGAGAGGAUGAUCAGUCACACUGGAACUGAGACACGGUCCAGACUCCUACGGGAGGCAGAAGUGGGGAAUAUUGGACAAUGGGCGAAAGCCUGAUCCAGACAUGCCGCGUGUGUGAAGAAGGUCUUCGGAUUGUAAAGAACUUUAAGUUGGGAGGAAGGGCAGUAAGUUAAUACCUUGCUGUUUUGACGGUACCAACAGAAUAAGCACCGGCUAACUUCGUG